rnacentral:lncRNA from 1 species
GGAAUCUCAAAUUUUGCUGAAAAACUAGGAUAAUCGAUUAUCUUUUUAGGAUAAUCGAUUAUCUUGGCUCUCUGGAAUUUCCAAUUUUUCUGAAAAACUCCAGAUAAUCGAUUAUUCUGGCUGAAUAAUUGAUUAUCCUGCAGUGUUGUUUCAAAAAUUUUUCAAUAAUCGAUUAUUCAAAAUGCAUAGUCGAUUAUUUGCUGCUUCUGUUUUGCAAAAUUUUGGUGAACUUUACAAGAUAGUCGAUUAUCUGGAGAAGAUAAUCGAUUAUCUUACCAUUGUGUCCAACGACUUAAUAUAGUUUUCAAUAAGAAACUUAAACAAGAAAUCAUGUUGUUCAUCAACCAAAAUCAUGCAAAUUUCAAUGUUUC